UGAGGAAUAUUGGGCAAUGCCCGCAAGGGUGACCCAGCAACGCCGCGUGGAGGAUGAAUGUCGUAAGAUUGUAAACUCCUGUUAGAGGGGAAGAAUAGUACCGGUUGGACCGGUAUAUGACUGUACCCUCAGAGAAAGCCCCGGCUAACUACGUGCCAGCAGCCGCGGUAAUACGUAGGGGGCAAGCGUUGUCCGAAUUUACUGGGUGUAAAGGGCGCGCAGGCGGGAUAAAAAGUCAGUGGUGAAAUCCUACAGCUUAACUGUAGAACUGCCUUUGAUACUUUUAUUCUUGAGUUCGGGAGAGAGAGACGGAAUUCCAGGUGUAGUGGUGAAAUACGUAGAUAUCUGGAAGAACACCAGUUGCGAAGGCGGUCUCUUGGUCCGACACUGACGCUGAGGCGCGAAAGCGUGGGGAGCAAACA
rnacentral:rRNA from 1 species